GCGUGAGUGAAGAAGGCCCUAGGGUUGUAAAACUCUUUCAGAUGUGAAGAUGAUGACGGUAACAUCAGAAGAAGCACCGGCUAACUUCGUGCCAGCAGCCGCGGUAAUACGAAGGGUGCUAGCGUUGUUCGGAAUUACUGGGCGUAAAGAGCACGUAGGCGGAUGGAUAAGUCAGAGGUGAAAGCCCCGAGCUCAACUUGGGAAAUGCCUUUGAGACUGUUCAUCUAGAGUCCGAGAGAGGUUAGUGGAAUUCCCAGUGUAGAGGUGAAAUUCGU
rnacentral:rRNA from 1 species